UAGGGAAUCUUCGGCAAUGGGGGCAACCCUGACCGAGCAACACCGCGUGAGUGAAGAAGGGUUUCGGCUCGUAAAGCUCUGUUGUUAAAGAAGAACACGUAUGAGAGUAACUGUUCAUACGUUGACGGUAUUUAACCAGAAAGUCACGGCUAACUACGUGCUAG
rnacentral:rRNA from 1 species